GACGAACGCUGGCGGCGUGCUUAACACAUGCAAGUCGAACGGCAAGGCCCUGCUAUCGUGGGGUGCCCGAGUGGCGAACGGGUGCGUAACACGUGAGUAACCUGCCCUUGAUUUUGGGAUAACUUCAGGAAACUGGGGCUAAUACCGGAUAGGAGAUCAUGCUGCAUGGAGGGGGUUGGAAAGUCUCGGCGGUUGGGGAUGGAUUCGCGGCUUAUCAGCUUGUUGGUGGGGGAGUGGAUUACCAAGGCUUUGACGGGUCGCCGGCCUGGGAGGGUGGCCGGCGACAAUGGUACUGCGGGACGGCCCAGAGUCCUACGGUAGGCAAUAGGGGGGAAUAUGGCACAGUGAGAGGGAGCCGGAGGCGAAAACGCCGGGUUCGUGAAGACGUCCUUCGGGGUGUGAACCGCUGUCGCCUAUGACGAAGCGUGAGUGACGGUAAUGGGUAAAGAAGCACCGGCUAACUACGUG
rnacentral:rRNA from 1 species